rnacentral:rRNA from 1 species
UACAGAGGUGGCAAGCGUUGUUCGGAAUCACUGGGCUUAAAGGGCGCGUAGGCGGGCUGUCAAGUCUGGGGUGAAAUCCCGCGGCUCAACCGUGGAACUGCCUUAGAUACUGACGGCCUCGAGGGAGGUAGGGGCAUGCGGAACUGAUGGUGGAGCGGUGAAAUGCGUUGAUAUCAUCAGGAACUCCGGUGGCGAAGGCGGCGUGCUGGACCUUUUCUGACGCUGAGGCGCGAAAGCCAGGGGAGCAAACGGG